AUUGAACGCUGGCGGCAGGCCUAACACAUGCAAGUCGAACGGUAACAGGAAACAGCUUGCUGUUUCGCUGACGAGUGGCGGACGGGUGAGUAAUGUCUGGGAAACUGCCUGAUGGAGGGGGAUAACUACUGGAAACGGUAGCUAAUACCGCAUAACGUCGCAAGACCAAAGAGGGGGACCUUCGUGCCUCUUGCCAUCGGAUGUGCCCAGAUGGGAUUAGCUAGUAGGUGGGGUAACGGCUCACCUAGGCGACGAUCCCUAGCUGGUCUGAGAGGAUGACCAGCCACACUGGAACUGAGACACGGUCCAGACUCCUACGGGAGGCAGCAGUGGGGAAUAUUGCACAAUGGGCGCAAGCCUGAUGCAGCCAUGCCGCGUGUAUGAAGAAGGCCUUCGGGUUGUAAAGUACUUUCAGCGGGGAGGAAGGGAGUAAAGUUAAUACCUUUACUCAUUGACGUUACCCGCAGAAGAAGCACCGGCUAACUCCGUG
rnacentral:rRNA from 1 species